ACUAAUGUGAGAACCCUUUCUGCCACCACUUCACCAAAACACAGAAUCCACUCCCUUUCUCUAACACCCCUUCUUCCCUUACUCUUUCUCUGCCUUCUCUCCACCAAAUUCACCCUAAAUUUUGCUGCAUAGGCUUAAUCCUCUUCCCUGUUGCAGAAUUUGGGGUUGAAGCAAGAUCAGAGUCACUUCUCUCAAGCUGAGUCUCCCUUUUCCUACGCUGCUUUAGGUUGGAGUUGAGGUAUUCUCUUUGGUUGAGGAGUCAAUCCUAGUGGAAAUUCCAAAGGGCCGAGUCCAGUUGAUGAUGUUCCUCCCUCUAGCAAGAGCUGAGUGAUCGAUGAGUAGUUCCGUGGUAGGGCGCAUGGAGUAGACGCCAUGUGGUUUUGGGAUGUUUUAGUUUGUAUUUAAAUACCUAUGUCCUUCAUCACAAAUUUACAGGAUACGUUUUUGGAUGACUGUAUCAACUGUGUAUUCCCUAAUGCUGUUUUCUUUAC